rnacentral:lncRNA from 1 species
UCAAAAUAUAAAAAGACUCCUCAAAUAGCUCCUGAAUGCAGUGGUCCUGGGGUAUCAAUCAUUCUCGAGCUGUGGUAAAUGAAUCAAUACCCGAAUAAGAAAAACAAAGCCAAACAGAUUAAAUGACUCGAGACACUAUGUGAGACCGCAAAUCCUACUGGACACAUACGAGACAAGAAUGAGCUAUUUUUUAAAAAUUAACUUAUAUGGUCAAGAGUGACUGUUAAUGCAAACUCAACAAAAUUGACCUCAUGGACAUGAAAAAUGAUUAACUAAGACUUUUAUGGAUUGAAACUCCCAAUAUCAUAGCCCAAAAAUUAAUUUGCAGAAAUAACCCAUUUCGCAAAAAUAGCCUAUGUGGCAGAAAGUUGCUAAAGAUGCAAACUCAAAAGGACGGACCUUAAAGUAAUAUGACUCCUAGUUGUGGACUUAAAAUUCUAAGACAUGGGUGAUUGAACCACUUUUUGCAAAAAUGAUCCCAUUUUGCAAGAAUAGCAGAUGUGGCGAAAAGUGGCUAGACAUGCAAGAUUUGGCUAAGACCCCGCAAAGGCAAUAACCUAAGACUCGCUCGGAAGACCGUACCCUAUGUGGGUUGCAUACGUAUCUCGUCCCGAAAGGACGAGAAUCGGGUUUGUGUAAUUCGGGAAGAUGCAACUAAUUUGGAAAAAUUAUAUUUUUGUCGUUCUUGAAAAAUGUAAACUCUUUUUGGAUUUUCUUCUCUUUUUUGAAUCUUUGAAAAAAGAUGAAAAAGUAUAAAAUCUUUUUUGAUUAUCUUUUUUCUCCUUUUUUAGAUUUUUGGAAAAUAAUGGAAGAGUGUAAAAUAUUUUUGGAUUUUCAUUUUCAUUUUUUUUUAUGUUUUGGAAAACUAUGAAAGAAAAAUGUGAGUGGGCCCUACUUGCUUCGUUUUUCACCAUUCUUUCCCAAACAUCGGUCCGUCAAAUGACCUUUUUAUCCUCAAAGAUGCAACAUUUAGCACAUAGGAUGACUAAAUAUCAUUUUGGACUACGGGCCCAUUUUGACAAAAUUUAGGCAGGCACCUUACAAAGGGACACGGUACCUGGGACCGAGCCCUACUAGGUGUAAAUGACAUGAUGCAAAUNNNNNNNNNNNNNNNNNNNNNNNNNNNNNNNNNNNNNNNNNNNNNNNNNNNNNNNNNNNNNNNNNNNNNNNNNNNNNNNNNNNNNNNNNNNNNNNNNNNNNNNNNNNNNNNNNNNNNNNNNNNNNNNNNNNNNNNNNNNNNNNNNNNNNNNNNNNCCCCCCAAAUUAAGGGUGACUCAAUAGAGAGUUUAUGCACGCGACGCGUGCUCCGAGACUUGUUGCAGAAAAAAGACCCAUGGCUAUGCAUAUGAUGACAGUUAUAAAGCACUAAACACAUAAAGAAAAAAUUGUAAAUAAAUAAGCAACUAGCAAAUAAUAAAAUGACAUGAACAAAAUAAAAAUCAAAUAAAGCAAACAAAACACAUAGAAACCUCAACCGAAUAUCCUAUGAAGCCAACAAAAUCAAAUACUAGCUCGAACCCGCAACUCUCCAUCAGAGUCGCCAGAGAUGUCACACCCCUUUUUUUAAACAAAACCUCACUAAACCCUCUUAAAUAAAGAAAAGGAUUUAGUAAAAGCAUGAAAAGGGUUUUCCAUUUGAAAAGUGACAAAAAUUUCUUUCAAAAGGAAAAUAACUCAGAGUCGCCACUUGACAUUUGAUUUCGGUGUGCUCGGUCACCGUUUUUUUUCUUAAAUAAUUUUUCCUUUUAAAACAUUUUAGACUCUAAAACGAAGUCCACACCAGAGAUUCAGGUAAGGGUGUUCAUUUGACUCGGGGAGAAGGUGUUAGGCAUUCCCCAAGUCCCGUAACUAGUACGGUUGCGUACAUGAUCAAGUUGACUAUUAAAAUAUUCGAUUGAGGUAAAAACAUAGAAAAAAAAAAAAAUAAACACACAAGAGGCUCGAGGUCGUCCCUUCCUAAAUAAAAUAAAUAAGAAAAAUGAAAAUAAGUUAAGCAUACUACAAAUUCUAUUUUCGAUCUCCGGGUACAAAUUCUACAGGGCAUACCCCGGAUAAGAAGUACGGUUGCGUACAUGAUCAAGCUGGCUAUUAAAACACUCGAUUGAGGUUAAACAAACACAGCAAAAUAAAUACACAAAAGGGCUUGAGGCCAUCCCCACCUAAUAAAAGAAAAAUAAGAAUAAAAUACUACACUAUGCUUCCUUCUCAAACGCGUCACAAGCUCCAAAGUAUUUACAAAGUACUUCGGGGCAUUUUCCGGGUUAAAAUACUUACAAAGUCCACGGGGCAUUCCCCAGAUAAAUUUAUCUAAGGGACAACCUGUCACCUCAAAACUAACAAAAAUCCUAAAGCUUGCCUAACCAAGUAUCGACGACCUAAAUAUAAUACUAACGAUGUUAAAAAGGCAAACAAAUAAAGUAGUAAGAUGUUUAAGGUCAAAUUUUACAUAUUAGCCAUUCAACUUGCAUGAGUAAAAUCAGUUUAAUACUCCUUUUUUACAUCAUUAAGGCAAAGCGCACAAUCAGAUUUUUGUUUUUCUAAAAUCAAAUAACAUGCAAGAUCUAAAUCAGAUUAGCCAUGAAAUUCAGAUUAAGGCAAGUAUUGAUCUAUUCAAUAGUCAGAAUCAUAUCAUCACACAUAAGCUUUAAGGGAACAAGAAUUUUGACCUCAGUUUCGUAAAAUCAAAUCAAUCGGAUAAGACCUUGAUAAGCAACGGAUUGGUUAGAACUGGGACAGAACCUCGGAUAGUCGGCACGACGGAUUCAAGCCACCUCACAGGAAGCCUCGAUCGGACUUCAACAAGGAACCAACAAAAACAGUCAUUGAAACUCAGUCGGAAAACUCGAAACUUGCCGGUAAAGGAUGCUAAAUGAGCCUUGUAUUCUUUACUGUUUUCAACCCCUUUUUUUUUGUUCACUGCCGCCUAUCUGCCGCUUCAGCAUCUGUGUAUGUGUGUGUGUUUAAGUUUGAGAGGAACAUGGUAUUUUGUAAGUUCCGGUGAAGAUGAAGAAGGGGUUGAAGAGGAUGCUUAGUCGCUGCUGUUCGACGGCGUGGAGUGGGUUAGAUGAAGAAGAAGGUCCUUGGUUUUCUUUGUUUUUUCUAGAUCGGACUGCUGCUGCUUCUUCUUUCUUUUGGUCAAAGAUGGAGACAGAUAGGUUGAGGAAUUCCAGUGGGUUAGAGGUGGCUGGCAAGGAGCUGGUGGAGCUGGUCGUUUGGUGUUUCAGAGGUGACGGGGCUGCGUUUGUUUUUUAGGGUGCUAGGAUUUUUCUUCUUGUUUUUUAGAGAAAAGAAGGACUUAGGGUUUC